rnacentral:rRNA from 1 species
GGCCUGGUGGCGAGUGGCGAACGGGUGAGUAAUACAUCGGAACGUACCCAGAAGUGGGGGAUAACGUAGCGAAAGUUACGCUAAUACCGCAUACGUUCUACGGAAGAAAGUGGGGGAUCGCAAGACCUCAUGCUUUUGGAGCGGCCGAUGUCUGAUUAGCUAGUUGGUGAGGUAAAGGCUCACCAAGGCGACGAUCAGUAGCUGGUCUGAGAGGACGACCAGCCACACUGGAACUGAGACACGGUCCAGACUCCUACGGGAGGCAGCAGUGGGGAAUUUUGGACAAUGGGCGCAAGCCUGAUCCAGCAAUGCCGCGUGAGUGAAGAAGGCCUUCGGGUUGUAAAGCUCUUUUGUCAGGGAAGAAACGGCAGGGGCUAAUAUCCUUUGCUAAUGACGGU